CUACAGGCUUAACACAUGCAAGUCGAGGGGCAGCAUGGUCUUAGCUUGCUAAGGCCGAUGGCGACCGGCGCACGGGUGAGUAACACGUAUCCAACCUGCCGUCUACUCUUGGACAGCCUUCUGAAAGGAAGAUUAAUACAAGAUGGCAUCAUGAGUCCGCAUGUUCACAUGAUUAAAGGUAUUCCGGUAGACGAUGGGGAUGCGUUCCAUUAGAUAGUAGGCGGGGUAACGGCCCACCUAGUCUUCGAUGGAUAGGGGUUCUGAGAGGAAGGUCCCCCACAUUGGAACUGAGACACGGUCCAAACUCCUACGGGAGGCAGCAGUGAGGAAUAUUGGUCAAUGGGCGAGAGCCUGAACCAGCCAAGUAGCGUGAAGGAUGACUGCCCUAUGGGUUGUAAACUUCUUUUAUAAAGGAAUAAAGUCGGGUAUGCAUACCCGUUUGCAUGUACUUUAUGAAUAAGGAUCGGCUAACUCCGUGCCAGCAGCCGCGGUAAUACGGAGGAUCCGAGCGUUAUCCGGAUUUAUUGGGUUUAAAGGGAGCGUAGAUGGAUGUUUAAGUCAGUUGUGAAAGUUUGCGGCUCAACCGUAAAAUUGCAGUUGAUACUGGAUAUCUUGAGUGCAGUUGAGGCAGGCGGAAUUCGUGGUGUAGCGGUGAAAUGCUUAGAUAUCACGAAGAACUCCGAUUGCGAAGGCAGCCUGCUAAGCUGCAACUGACAUUGAGGCUCGAAAGUGUGGGUAUCAAACAGGAUUAGAUACCCUGGUAGUCCACACGGUAAACGAUGAAUACUCGCUGUUUGCGAUAUACAGCAAGCGGCCAAGCGAAAGCGUUAAGUAUUCCACCUGGGGAGUACGCCGGCAACGGUGAAACUCAAAGGAAUUGACGGGGGCCCGCACAAGCGGAGGAACAUGUGGUUUAAUUCGAUGAUACGCGAGGAACCUUACCCGGGCUUAAAUUGCAGAUGAAUUACGGUGAAAGCCGUAAGCCGCAAGGCAUCUGUGAAGGUGCUGCAUGGUUGUCGUCAGCUCGUGCCGUGAGGUGUCGGCUUAAGUGCCAUAACGAGCGCAACCCUUGUUGUCAGUUACUAACAGGUUCCGCUGAGGACUCUGACAAGACUGCCAUCGUAAGAUGUGAGGAAGGUGGGGAUGACGUCAAAUCAGCACGGCCCUUACGUCCGGGGCUACACACGUGUUACAAUGGGGGGUACAGAGGGCCGCUACCACGCGAGUGGAUGCCAAUCCCAAAAACCUCUCUCAGUUCGGACUGGAGUCUGCAACCCGACUCCACGAAGCUGGAUUCGCUAGUAAUCGCGCAUCAGCCACGGCGCGGUGAAUACGUUCCCGGGCCUUGUACACACCGCCCGUCAAGCCAUGGGAGCCGGGGGUACCUGAAGUGCGUAACCGCGAGGAGCGCCCUAGGGUAAAACUGGUGACUGGGGCUAAGUAA
rnacentral:rRNA from 1 species